rnacentral:tRNA from 1 species
AUUUGUAUAGUUUAAGAAAAACAUUACAUUUUCAAUGUAAAGACAAAUAAAUUUUGCAAAUA